AGUGAACGCUGGCGGUAGGCCUAACACAUGCAAGUCGAACGGCAGCACAGUAAGCGCUUGCUCUUACGGGUGGCGAGUGGCGGACGGGUGAGGCAUACAUCGGAAUCUACUUUUUCGUGGGGGAUAACGUAGGGAAACUUACGCUAAUACCGCAUACGACCUACGGGUGAAAGCAGGGGAUCUUCGCACCUUGCGCGAUUGAAUGAGCCGAUGUCGGAUUAGCUAGUUGGCGGGGUAAAGGCCCACCAAGGCGACGAUCCGUAGCUGGUCUGAGAGGAUGAUCAGCCACAAUGGAACUGAGACACGGUCCAGACUCCUACGGGAGGCAGCAGUGGGGAAUAUUGGGCAAUGGGCGCAAGCCUGAUCCAGCCAUACCGCGUGGGUGAAGAAGGCCUUCGGGUUGUAAAGCCCUUUUGUUGGGAAAGAAAAGCAGCAGGUUUAUACCCCCCUGUUUUGACGGUACCCAAAGAAUAAGCACCGGCUAACUUCGUG
rnacentral:rRNA from 1 species